CCAUUUUUUAUGAAAUUACAUUUCAUCGUGAUUUAUUUUUUCCUUCAGUGGAUAUUAUCCCCUAUUGUUCACGGAGACAAACAGAGAAAGAGAGGAAUAGGAAGAGAGAAAUCUUGGAUUAAGUUCAACCGAGCGACUGAUUCAUGUCGUGGGAUGUCAUGUUUCAACCAGUACAUUUGGUAUCAGUUUGAACCAUUAAUAUAUUUGCUCGAGUUGGAGAAAUCAGAACAUAUAUGACUAACAUCCAUAUGUAACUGAGUUAUGUUGAUUCCUAGCAAUUACCUCGAGGUAGACAAACAAUUCAGUUCUCCCCAUUCAAAUAAUCUGACAUGAUUUUGUUGUGUUUUGAGUACUCAUAUAUUGAGGCUUAUUGCAAUGGAGUUGCAAUUCGAUUUACUUAUUUGUGUUUAUAUGUCUGUGUGGAAGGUGGGAAGGGGUUUGGAUGGGAUUUGGUUGUGUACGUUAACUUCAAUUCAUUUUAUUUGUUGAGGAUUUGGUUGUGUACGUUGUAUAACUUAAUUCAUUUAUUUGUCGGGAUUUGUUGUUAAUGGAGUUGUUGUUGACGGUGGUUGAUGGAUCGUAAUGCAGAGGUGAUGCUGCGAUAGGAUUGAGCUGUUGUUGAUUACCAAAGUUUCAUCAUUUUUACGAUUAAUUUGUUUGAUGGGAUCUUCAUCUAUCCCGUAGACAUUGAUUUUGAGUUAAUAAUAUGUUUUGAUUGC